UCGGACGCGGCACGAACAUCGCUCUCUGUGGCGCAAGGCCAUACAGGAGCAGGUGCUGCUUACCCGCAUGGAGAAGGAGGAGAGGCAGCUUCAAGAGAGCCAGGAUGAAUGGAGCAGCAAGCGUUUGCGACUCGACUAUGGCGAGGUUGAGGACGGGCCUUGUAAUGCCGAGACGGUCAAGGGCUGGGACAAGCUCCUGACGCAGCCACCGGGAGGCGUCAUCAGCCCGGACAUCAUUCAGUCUGAGCAGAGUUAUCGCGAGGCCAGCCGAUUUACUCAAUGAGGACGGUCUCCCUGGAGUAGCGGAGCUGCUACUGUUCAUCCUGGGCCUC